GCUGACUUUUAACCAUUAAGCUCCCUAAAAACAAUUCUUUAAAAUCUCAUUUCCAUAUUUUAGCUAGGACACAUUGCUGAUAUUUCAAAAGUAACACGAAUACCAAACCAGAAAGGGCUUGAUGUAGGAACCAAACCCAGGCUGAUGCGAUGAAAAAAAUAAAAAGGGCAGAACCUUAGUUACCAAACUGCAGUGUGAGGUGACAGCCAUUGCUCUUUUAGUUUGGCUUGGUUAGUAAAAAAAAAAAAAAAAAAAAAAAAGGUGGCCUUGUUAUGUAACUAAAGCCCUUUAGGUAAUCUAAAUAAAAAAUCUUUCCCUUUUUUUUUCUUUUGCUGGCUGUUUUUUCUUUUUCCCUUUUUUUCUUUUUCAAUUAUGGGAAUUUAGCCAAUUCAGAGGCCUUGUUCCCCACAAUUUGGACUUUCCUUUGGAUUUCAUCAAGGCUGAUAGAGUUGGUCAAACCCAAUGGGAAAAAACAAAACAACAAAAAUACAAACAAACAAGCAACAGUAACAACAAAAACAGCUAAGCAAAUCAAACAAACAAUUGUACAAUUUAUAUGAUUACUGAGUACUCUAAUGGUAAGAAUUUAAGACCAGCUGGUUGUGAAUCUUAACUUUAGCUAAGACAGAACCCUGAUUCAGCUACUUGUCUAAGAAUGGGUCUCAGGCUGAAGACUGCUCUCUACCAUUCUAGAAGCAGGAAAAAUCUCAAAUUGUUUUGAAGUAAGCUCAGACUCCACAAAAGAGUUACCUGCCUUCCAUUGUCAUGGAAGUAGGAAAACUUGCUCUCCUUGUUGGAAGCAAGUGAAACUCCAGAAGAGGGGUUGUAUAGCCAAGUAAACUUUAGAUCUCGACCAAAUUUUGGGAGAUCAGGGAUUCUCUAAACAGGAGGCUCCCAGGCCUCAGCCAAGUAUCCUAUUGGUUUGAGCCAUAAAGAUAGCUCAAGCUGGUACCAAGCACCAAUAAGAAAUUUGUCAAAGGUCAGGGGAACCUCCACUCAGAAUCCCGUUGUGGUUGCCAAUUGUGAACCCAAAAUAUCUGAGACAGGUCUCAGUCAAUUUAGAAAGUUUAUUUUGCCGGGACUCUACAGUGGCGAUUGGUUGUUUCAUUAUGGAUGGAGGGGAUGAUGGUAACCUUGUUAUCAAAAAGAGGUUUGUGUCUGAGGCAGAACUAGGUGAAUGGUGCAAAAGGAGGCAAGAAGAAUGGGAGAAAGUUCGAAAACCUGAAGAUCCAGAAUAAUGUCCAGAGAAGGUUUAUGACCCUCGAUCUCUAUAUGAAAGGCUACAGGAACAGAAGGACAGGAAGCAGCAGGAGUAUGAGGAACAGUUCAAAUUCAAAAACAUGGUCAGAGGCUUAGAUGAAGAUGAGACCAGCUUCCUUGAUGAGGUUUCUCGACAGCAGGAGCUAAUAGAAAAGCAACAAAGAGAAGAAGAACUGAAAGAACUGAAGGAAUAGAGAAAUCACCUUAAGAAGGUUGGAAUUUCUCAAGAGAACAAGAAGGAAGUGGAAAAGAAACUGACUGUGAAGCCCAUAGAAACCAAGAACAAGUUCUCCCAGGCGAAGCUGUUGGCAGGAGCUGUGAAGCAUAAGAGCUCAGAGAGUGACAACAGUGUGAAAAGACUGAAACCAGACCCUGAGCCAGAUGACAAGAAUCAAGAGCUCUCAUCCUGCAAGUGUCUCAGAAACACCUCCCUGAGUGGCCCCUCAAUCCACUGCCCCUCUGCUGCAGUCUGUAUCGGCAUCCUCCCAGGCCUGGGCGCCUACUUUGGGAGCAGCGACUCCGAGUCCAGCUCAGACAGCGAAGGCACCAUCAGUGCCACCAGAAAGAUUGUCUCCUCCAUCUUCCAAACCAACACCUUCCUCGAGGCCCCCUAGUUUCUCUGUCCUUACACAGGGAGCUCCUCCCCAAUGGUAGAUCAGACCAUUCACGUUGCCUUACAGGCAUUAUGUCCCUCAAAAAAAAAAAAAACUCCUUUGCCUGCAUCCUGUGCACAACAUGACAUUUUUAACCAAUCCAAUCUAAAAAUGUGCUAGAAUCCACCUGUGGCCUGAAUCGUGUUUGGUUUCUCGUUCUACUCCAGUGCAGAUGACCAAACCUGUCCCGCUGCCACUUUCCUCACUGAUAUUGGGAGGAGGGCAAGGCCUAGCCGAAGUUCCACUAAAAAUGCCCUAGGAGAAUAGGCACUGGCUGACUUGCCAAAGGGUUUGGGUUUCAUUGCUUUCUGUUUUUUUCUUUUCCCUGACAGCACAAAGAAGUAAGGGCAGUUAUUGGACAGGUGUUAUUUAAACAUUCUAUUGUAGAUGAAUGUGUUGUUUGGUUCUACUGCAUUGUGGAGAAUGUGAGGGAAGAGAACUGACCCAGGUGAUGAAAUGGAGCCCCUCCCUGGAACUCACCAGUCCUUGAUGUUGUGUGACUAAGUAAAGAUGAUAAACCUCAUCUGCUGGGGGCGUUCACACUUGGCAUGCAUUGUGAAAGGGCCAUUCCCUCUCCCCCUCUAUCCAACCCCAUUUAUGCAUGAAGGGACUGCUAACAAGAAAGCUUCCAUCUCAAACCUUUUCUCUGCCUGGGAAAUUAUUUUAUGUUUGUUUUUGAAAUAAAGGAUUUAGUUUAAGAUUCUAAAUUUUAGAAAAGAAAAAGAAAGUUUAUUUUGCCAAGGUUAAGGACACAUCCAUGACAUAGCCUCACGAGGUCAUGAUGACAUGUGCCUAAGGUGGUCAGGGCACAGCUUGGUUUUAUACAUUUUAGGGAGACAUGAGACAUCAGUCAAUAUAUAUGUAAGAUGUACAUUGGCUCAGUCCAGAAAACUGGGACAACAAGAAGCACGGAGACGCUUCCAGGUCAUAGGUAGAUAAGAGAGAAAUGGUUGCAUUCUUUUGAGUCUCUGAUUAACCUUUUACUGAAUACACAACUUACAUGUGAGAGGGGGCAUAGAGGAAUAGUCACUUAUACCUUAGUCUGGCUUAGUGAAACAAUAAGGCAAAGGAAGCACAGAUACACAUUUGUCUCACAUGAGCAGAAGGAUGACUUUCAGUUCUGUCUGUCCUUUGUCCACAAGGAAUUUCCUUGUGUGCAAACUGUGAGGGAGAUAUGUCGCUUUUUAAUCUUUGUAGCUAUCUCAUUUAGAAACAGAAUGGGCGGCAGGUUUGCCCAACGACGCAGUUCCCAGCUUGACUUUUCUCUUUGGCUUAGUGAUUUGGGGGUCCCGAGAUUUAUCUUCCUUUCGCACCAUCAAGGGACUUCUGUAGACUCUGUACAUGAGUACAGGGAUCACCAGAGACCCCCUUUUUAUGAGUUCCUGUGCAGUGGAGCUGCUGGGGUAGGAUUAAUUUCUCUGCCUUCUUCCCCUGCCAUAGACAAUGUUUAACCUGAUUAUGCUCUGCAGGCAAGUAGCCACCCUUGGAUAUUAAUCUCCUUAUUGAAUAAGAUAAACUGUGAAGAAGGCAUGCCGUAAAGGAGGGAAUGCAAGGCUAGAAAAUAUGUCUGAAUCUGUCAUGGGAAGCAUGGAGGGAGAAAUGAAGAUGUGUGGACAUCUAGUAUUUUCUCUGCUUUCCCUUCUCUAUGGUCCUUUAAAAUUUUCAAUUCUCCUGAAAAGAAAAAUUGUAUCUUGUUUUUGUGAAGCCAUUUCCAGUAUGAAAACAAUUCCAUUUGACAGUGUAAACUGUCCUGUGCUUAGCUGUCUGCUUGCCCUGCACUCCCUCCCUGCCCCCAACCAUGUGAAACAGAUGCCUGCAGUGACACUGCCCAUCAAUCACCCCACAGGAAGCAGGGUACAAUUCAAAACCCCAAAAUGCAGAAACUUGUUCACCUGUGCCUUCCACACAGUGGUGAGGUAGGUAGGAAGCCUAGGGUAUUACUUGGAAAACAAGCAACAUUUUAAGACAGAUUAAGUGUAAACUUCUUUGCUUUUUUCUCUGGCAUAGUUUUGAGAAAUCACCACCAAUUGGAUACAUUGUAAUGUACAUAUAAAUUUUCUUCUUUUUUACUAUCUAAUUUACAAUUUAAUAUCUAACACACAAAAGUUGAUCAAAGGCACAAAAACACUAGAUAAAAGGCUGAAUAUUUAAUACCAACCCUUCUGAGUUAAUUACCAGAUCCUUGUUUUUCAGUAGGAGGCCAGCAAGUUAGGAGUUAAGAUGAAAGGAGUCCUAGAUUUAACCCCAAAAGACCCCCCUUUAAUUUUAGCCAGGUCAGGCCCACAAAGAGAUGUAGAUGUAAACUGAUUAUGAUGCUAAGUGUUUGACAGGGAUCCUCUUUGUGUCCAAGGCCAGUCAAAACUUGGCAAAAAGCUUGCCCUCUUUGCUUUUUAAUGGUCCAUUUUAAUUAUUUCUGUAAAUCUGCUUGAGAAAUAUUAAGAUUCUGAUUGUUGUGGACUGGUUUAUUAUUUGCUACCAUACCCGAAGUAUUUGCCUUCUCAUUAUAGAAGCUUAGUGCAAAGAACUGUCCAGAGCUAGUUCACUAAACUAAGCACACACUCGAUUUCCAAGGGGAGCAGAAAGGGCUUUACCAAUUGCUAAGUCACCAACAUAUCCCUUUGCCCAUCUUUCUAUGUCCUACAAAGACUUACGUGGGAUGUGCACAUAGUAUUUCCCCAGGGAAACACACACACACACACACACACACACACACACACACACACACACUCGAAUAUUGUUGAUUGGUUGGGUUUGGAGACUGCUUAAACUGUGUGUGUUAUGGUUUCAAAUUACUGUUUGCUUUUCUAACUUCUUAGAAGGGUAAACAAUUUGAAAACAGUUUAAACCCAUAGCAAAAGAAACUGGCAUCUGACAAACUCUUUAACUUAAUUCCUCUUAUUAAGACUCACAUACUUUUUUCUGGUGAUAAAUAAUGGAAAGAAAUGAUAGGUUUUGAUGUUAUAUUUUAUAGCUGUUUUUCUCCUCAAGGUUUGAAUGUUAUUAACAGCCAGACCCUACACAAACACCAACCAGUUUUCUAAGCACUGAAUCAACUGUAAACUAAAAAGAGCUCUAUCUGGAGGUUUUCUGGGUGAAAGCUCAGUGAUAUCUACGGUUUUUUUUUUCUUAGUCUCCUCUUCCAUCUCCAGCCUCUAAAACACACACACACACACACACACACACACACACACGAAAAACAAAUGAAUGCACAAUUUGCUCUAAGGAAAUACAGUAUAGAUAGGCAGGCAUGAGAGUCAUCACGUUAUCUUACUACCUCAUUCCUGUAUGUUGGGUAAAGGUUGUCUUUAAUCUCUCCUACCUUCAAACAAAUCAGGCACUAUUGUUGACAAAAUACCCCUAUUUACUUCUGGCAAGGCAAAUGUCAUUGAUGCUACCUUAGAUACUAACAUCACGUGUGGAAGCUUUUUCUAUUUUAAACUUUCAACCCUGUCU